GAUUCAUAUGCGUUCGUCGUCUCUCGUCUGUGCUGCCGUGACGAGCCGAAGCUGCCAUGCCGCCGCCUGCAGUUAUAAGCUGCACAUACUGACAUACACCCGACCAGCCUCGAUCUGCACUGCGCACCACGGCCGGCCGGCCCGGCCGGCUCGCGCCAUCCCAAGGAAGUUGUAAUGAUCAAUCAUUCAAUCAAGAUUUUACAGAAUACGAUCAGGAAAUGUUGGAUAAUAUUCCUAAUGAGGUGAUAGUUCAACGCUUCUAUGCGAAAAAUCAUCAUGGGCUCAUGGCAUGAAACGGAACUUGAAGGCUAGAAAUCAUGGACAUAUAUAAAAAAAGGAACGACAUAUUCAUAUUUCCCAAGUUAUUGUGGUUUAAGUGGUUAGUUUACUUUUACUUUGGCAAUGAACUUGUCAUAAUUAUGCGUGUGAUGACAUUAUCUUACCAGAAAGUAUAUGAUUUUGCUUCUUACACACUAUAUCUAUGCUUGUGUGGUUUAAAUAAUUUAGUCAUUAUAGUUCGUAUACAUGUUUAUGAAAAAAAUACGUAUAAAUAUUUGCCCCCUCUUGAUUUUCA